UUCUGUCGGACAAAAACAUGAUGCGGACC
rnacentral:sRNA from 1 species